CGUGCAUUGAACCAAAGAUAAUUCCCAUGUCAAACGAAAGGAAAAAUCUCAUUACUAAUGAUGCAUAAUCGACUACGAAACUUAGUAGCAAGUGGAAAUUUAAGCAAAUUUGAGCCGGCUUCAAAUAUGUCAUUGAUGAUUUGGGAUAAUGAGUUAGCAUACUUGGCUGAAUUGAAUGUCAAACAGUGCCAAAUGGAACACGAUGCUUGUCGUAGUACAGCCCAAUUCAAGUAUGCUGGACAGAAUUUGGCUUUUUCUUGGACAAGUGGGUCUUUGAAAAA